rnacentral:rRNA from 1 species
CCUACGGGCGGCAGCAGUGAGGAAUAUUGGUCAAUGGACGAGAGUCUGAACCAGCCAAGUAGCGUGAAGGAUGACUGCCCUAUGGGUUGUAAACUUCUUUUAUAUGGGAAUAAAACGUUCCACGUGUGGGAUUUUGUAUGUACCAUAUGAAUAAGGAUCGGCUAACUCCGUGCCAGCAGCCGCGGUAAUACGGAGGAUCCGAGCGUUAUCCGGAUUUAUUGGGUUUAAAGGGAGCGUAGGUGGAUUGUUAAGUAAGUUGUGAAAGUUUGCGGCUCAACCGUAAAAUUGCAGUUGAAACUGGCAGUCUUGAGUACAGUAGAGGUGGGCGGAAUUCGUGGUGUAGCGGUGAAAUGCUUAGAUAUCACGAAGAACUCCGAUUGCGAAGGCAGUUCACUGGACUGCAACUGACACUGAGGCUCGAAAGUGUGGGUAUCAAACAGGAUUAGAUACCCGAGUAGUC